rnacentral:rRNA from 1 species
GAUGAACGCUGGCGGCGUGCCUAAUACAUGCAAGUCGAGCGAAUGGAUUAAGAGCUUGCUCUUAUGAAGUUAGCGGUGGACGGGUGAGUAACACGUGGGUAACCUGCCCAUAAGACUGGGAUAACUCCGGGAAACCGGGGCUAAUACCGGAUAAUAUUUUGAACUGCAUGGUUCAAAAUUGAAAGGCGGCUUCGGCUGUCACUUAUGGAUGGACCCGCGUCGCAUUAGCUAGUUGGUGAGGUAACGGCUCACCAAGGCAACGAUGCGUAGCCGACCUGGGAGGGUGAUCGGCCACACUGGGACUGAGACACGGCCCAGACUCCUACGGGAGGCAGCAGUGGGGAAUAUUGCACAAUGGGCGCAAGCCUGAUGCAGCAACGCCGCGUGAGUGAUGAAGGCUUUCGGGUCGUAAAACUCUGUUGUUAGGGAAGAACAAGUGCUAGUUGAAUAAGCUGGCACCUUGACGGUACCUAACCAGAAAGCCACGGCUAACUACGUGCCAGCCGCCGCAGUAA